GGUGGAGUGGUGUCCGUUAUCGCGACUUGCCAGAGAGUGGUAGAGCCACACAGAAUCUGUUGCAGAGAGUGGAGCAGGGUAGUGGCCACUAUCGUGACUUGCCAGAGAGUUCAGAUCUGUCGGCUGGAGCUCAGCUGGGAUAUCCGAUGGAGCGGAAUGGCUCUCUAUCCUAUCGAUCUAGGAGAAGCUUGGAUAUUUUCAAGGCUGCUGAUGAGUCUACUGUUGUCGGAUGCUUUUGGCACUGAUGUUGC
rnacentral:lncRNA from 1 species